rnacentral:lncRNA from 1 species
GAAGAAAAUUUUUAUAAUCACAUUAUUAAUUUUAGGAUACCAGCAAGAAAAUAUGAAUUUUUUCUGGUAAUGUUUUUUGCUACUGAUGAGAUCAACAAGAAUCCUUAUCUUUUAUCCAACUUGUUCUCUGUGCAAUCUGGUUGGUGACAUCUCCUCCAUUUAUUGACAGAGAUAUACAAUCUGAACAUGGGAAGGUAAUCAUCAUUUGCAACAAAGGCUCAGUCACUGCCUUCCACUUUGUCUUGGGAUAUUUGAGCUCCUUGGCUCUGGGGAGCUUCACUGUGGCUUUCUUGGCUAGGAACCUUCCUGACAGAUUCAAUGAGGCCAAGUUCCUAACAUUCAGCAUGUUGGUGUUCUACAGUGUUUGGAUCACCUUCCUCCCUGUCUACCACAGCACCAGGGGGAAGGUUAUGGUUAUUGUGGAGGUUUUCUCCAUCUUGGCUUCUAGUGCAGGGUUGCUAGGGUGUAUAUUUUUCCAAAAGUGUUAUGUUCUUUUAGUUCGACCAGAUUUAAAUGUUCUUCAGAAAUAAAAAGAUAAAUUGCUUUAUUGAA